ACUCCGCUACUCCGCCGCCGUCGACCUUGCCGUCGUCUGAGCUGUGCGCCGACAGCUCAUCUCCAUCCCGAGCGAGCCCUAGCUACUCCGUCGUCGUCGACAUCGCCGUCGUCUGAGGUAAGUGAUCCUCAUACUCUCCGUCUUGAUCCUCAUACAUAUUUUCCUGUUAUUGGGGUUAGGCAAAACAAUGAACAAUGGAAGAUAGAGCGCUGAGCAGUAGAUGAGAAAGUAAAGGGAUUUUGGAUGGUAGACUAGUAGUAUUUCUAGACCAGAGCACUUUCUAUGGCUAUCCGUGGCUGCUAUAUGUCAUGGGUCAUUCUUUUGAUGGGGAUUUUAACCUGUUAUGCUCUUGAAGGGCUACUUUAUGUUAUUUGCAUUUAAGUUUCAUCUUGUUUUAUGAUUGCUAUUCUAUAAAUGAUGGUCGCCUCUUUAAAUAAUGAAUUUGAUUCUC